UACGUAGGGAGCAAGCGUUGUCCGGAAUCAUUGGGCGUAAAGGGCGCGUAGGCGGCUUGGCAAGUGGAAGGUGAAAUCCCUCGGCUUAACCGAGGAACUGCCCUCCAAACUGCUUUGCUUGAGGCCGGGAGAGGCGAGUGGAAUUCCCAGUGUAGCGGUGAAAUGCGUAGAUAUUGGGAGGAACACCAGUGGCGAAGGCGGCUCACUGGCCCGGUACUGACGCUGAGGCGCGAAAGCUAGGGGAGCAAACGGG
rnacentral:rRNA from 1 species